UGAAAAAGUUGUUUAUAUUGCUUAUAUGCUAUAUUUUCGUGUAUGAUAUUUUAUUUUUUUAGAAGAUGUGUAUGUUAUGACUUUCCAAUGAAUGUUGUGGAUGAAUUUUGCCACCACUGCCAAAUGUGUAAUGACCACUAUUGUUUCUGCCACUUGUAAUACUCCCAACCCCACUCUAAAAGUGCAAAAAGGCUACUGCUUCCUUUUCUCUGCAUUGUUGUCAUUUUACUGUAGAAACCGCUACUGCUAUCUUAUGCAUCUUCACCCUGAUGCUUUUAUCGUCGGGGUUGUUUUUGGGGCUGCUGCUGCCACCCGUGUCAUUGUUAUCAUGGUUGUUGCUGGUAAUACAUAUGUCACUUUCUCCUGGUCAUCAACAGCUUUCUCUUACAAUGAACUUGCUUUCUCUUUGUUGGAAAGUACAGUUUAAGCCACCUGGUAAAUAUCCUUUUUGACUUUGGAAUCAAUAGAAACUUGAGAGAAUUCAUUAAAGAUCCUAAUGCAGUUAUAGUAGUGCCUCAGUUUUUCAGCACUUUUUGGAGAGUGUUCUGCAGUUAACUUUCCUGCCAUUUGCUUUCCACAAAUCAAUUGCACCAUAAAUGAUCCAAGUUUCUUUUUAGUAGUCAUUGAAUUAACUAUGUGCAUCCUACACAUUUUAUUGAUAAAGAUUAUUAGUUUUCCUCGUCUCAUUUUAGGCAUUAGCCUUGGGAUA
rnacentral:misc_RNA from 1 species